GACGGAGGAUGCAAGUGUUAUCCGGAAUCACUGGGCGUAAAGCGUCUGUAGGUGGUUUAUUAAGUCUAUUGUUAAAUCUUGAGGCUUAACCUCAAAUCAGCAAUGGAUACUGAUAGACUAGAGUGUGAUAGAGGUAAGAGGAAUUUCCAGUGGAGCGGUGAAAUGCGUAGAGAUUGGAAAGAACACCGAUGGCGAAAGCAUCUUACUGGGUCAAAACUGACACUGAGAGACGAAAGCUAGGGUAGCAAAUGGG
rnacentral:rRNA from 1 species